rnacentral:rRNA from 1 species
UACGGGGGGGGUAAGCGUUGUUCGGAAUUACUGGGCGUAAAGGGCUCGUAGGCGGCCAACUAAGUCAUACGUGAAAUCCCUCAGCUUAACCGGGGAACUGCGUCUGAUACUGGAUGGCUUGAGUUCGGGAGAGGGAUGCGGAAUUCCAGGUGUAGCGGUGAAAUGCGUAGAUAUCUGGAGGAACACCGGUGGCGAAGGCGGCAUCCUGGACCGACACUGACACUGAGGAGCGAAAGCCAGGGGAGCAAACGGG